UAUUAUUUCAUCCAUUAUUUCUUUGGUGCAAACUAUAUGCCUGUAUUUCUUGAUGGUGAAAAGUAUAAUAGCUGCUGGCUCAACCUUGUGUUAAAUUUUUAGGUGAAUUGUCAAUAGGAAUUGUUGAACAACUUUUUAUUUAUAUUAUAAUUCAGAUGUGUAUAAACAUAGUGUCAAAUUUUUUAUCUUCAUCUUCCCACGCUUCUUUAUCAAGCCAGUUGAUAAACAUCUUGUCAUUUCUUGCCUAUAGGCCCCAACUUGCCAUGGAUGAAAACCUUUAUGCUUUGGAUUGGAAGGCUGAUUCGAAGCAAAAAAUCUUCAUUAGGUAAUAGGUACUUAAUUUUUUAGAAUUAGAGAUUGUUGUCAUAUUGAUGAAAACUAGAAUCUGGGCAUAGGGAUAGCAGCUAGUCUAUGUAGGGUUCUAGAAUUUUUUUUUUUUU
rnacentral:misc_RNA from 1 species